GACGAACGCUGGCGGCGUGCUUAACACAUGCAAGUCGAACGGUGAAAGAGGAGCUUGCACCUCUGGAUCAGUGGCGAACGGGUGAGUAACACGUGAGCAAUCUGCCCCGAACUCUGGGAUAAGCGCUGGAGACGGCGUCUAAUACCGGAUACGACGCGCGAGGGCAUCCUCUGCGCGCGGAAAGAACUUCGGUUCGGGAUGAGCUCGCGGCCUAUCAGCUUGUUGGUGAGGUAACGGCUCACCAAGGCGACGACGGGGUAGCCGGCCUGAGAGGGUGACCGGCACACUGGGACUGAGACACGGCCCAGACUCCUACGGGAGGCAGCA
rnacentral:rRNA from 1 species